rnacentral:rRNA from 1 species
UGGCGAUGCGUCUUAAGCAUGCAAGUCGAGCGGGCUUAUUAAGGCAAAAGGAUAAGUUAGCGGCGAACUGGUGAGUAACACGUAGGUAAUCUGCCGUGAAGUGGGGGAUAACCCAUGGAAACAUGGACUAAUACCGCAUAUACUCUUGCUACAUAAGUAGAGUAGAGGAAAGUUUUUUCGCUUCACGAUGAGCCUGCGGCCUAUUAGCCUGUUGGUAGGGUAAUGGCCUACCAAAGCUACGAUAGGUAGCCGACCUGAGAGGGUGACCGGCCACAUUGGGACUGAGAUACGGCCCAGACUCCUACGGGAGGCAGCAGCUGAGAAUCUUCCACAAUGGACGAAAGUCUGAUGGAGCGACAUCGCGUGAGGGAUGAAGGCCUUCGGGUUGUAAACCUCGGAAAUUAUCGAAGAAUGAGUGACAGUAGAUAAUGUA